rnacentral:lncRNA from 1 species
CCUCUCCCUCCUGCUCCUCUCUCUGCCCUCCCAGUUAAUCCGUGCGCCCCUCUCCCCUCCUCUCCGACACCCCGCUUCCUUCUGCCCGCCCCAGCCCCUUCUUCUGCACCCUCCUGCCCUCUCCUCCCUCCUCCCCGCCUCCUCUGCGCCUCUGCCGGGCUAGCCGAGCUCCCACGCGGUUGCUAUGGAGUCGCUCGGGGCUUCGUGCCUGCUGGCGGGAGGGGCCCCGGGCCUCUGGGACCAACCGAAGUCUGUGCCCAAGCCUUGGGCGCCUCGCCCGUCGGGGAUUAGGAACAAAGCGCGCCCUCGUCAGCCUCGGGGGAUGCGCCCUGAGACCUUCCUCGACCCAGGCCGGAGGCUUAAGACCACCAAGAAACCGCUUGCCCUCGGCCUCUCCUUGGGCAGGACCCCUGGGGCCGAGAUGUCUCGUUGCAUUCACUCCUCGUCAUCCAGACAGAAGCUCUACCUGAAGGAUAGGGCAGAGUAAGAUUCCCAAGUCAUGCUGUUGUCUCCGUGAUGGGCCUAGGGGUGGAAAACCUCUGUCAGCAUGGGGUCUACUGACAAGGGGAGCUGGUGGGUGUUGGGUGGAAGAGCUCCUAGGCUCCAAGCUGGGGGAAGAAGACUUCUACUUGCACAAUGAGAACAAAGUCGGGUAGAGCCCACAAAUGGUGGACUGGGGACUGGAAAGAAAGAGCCCCUCAGGAGAGAGACUUUCAACUGCCUGGAAAAUUUAUUCUCUGGAUAACAAAUAUGUAACAACAACAAAAUAAAACAAGGAGAUCAAGGGGGUAGUGGAUUGACUCAUGGGCCCAGCUGAAUUGAAUCAGCGUGGUCUGGGCGUGGAGGGUCCACCUGAGGAUUGUUACCAUUCACCAUAAAAAGAGAACUGGAGAGGAAGAUCUUGGUCUGUUGAGUUUUUAGGAGAAGCUUGCUGCAGAUGGUUUUUCUGAUGUGACCUAUGCUGUUCUCAUUGGAGGAGGAGCUCAGGACCUCGCUGUUGCUGGUCAGGGGAGCUCUGACCUUCACCGUGAGCAUCACUUCCUGGCUCCAAUAUGGAUCCCUCAGCCUGGUGGCACAAAUCCUUCACCCCACUGGUGUAGGUUUUCUGGCUUCCACCCCAGCCUCUGGGCCUUCCAGGUGCAGAUCCUCAGUACGGACAAGCGUGAGACAUUGCCGUGGGCUCCAGGCCACUGGCUGGACUCAUGGAGGACAUUGCCUUGGAUUCUAGGCCUUCAGCUGCACUUGUGUGGGACAUUGGUGGGAUCCGGGCCCUCAGCUGGAUUCUUUGGGUCUCUAGUGUGCAGUGAAUCUCCCUUGCACUCAUUUGCAUUUGAUUUUUUGCGUAGUUAUCAUAAAAUAAUCCCAUAAAUCGUGUGUCCUAUAUUUAAUGUAUUCCCUUGACCAAAUCCUAACUACAGCAAAGGGAGAAAGGAAGGAAGAACAACAGAGCUCAUUGAAGGACAAAAAAAGGUGCAGAAAAAGCAAACAAAAGAGCUAUAUAUAUGAAGUGGCAGCAAACAUGAGCUGAUUACUAAUCUUGAUUCUCAACUGCAAACUAGGGAUCUCUGUUAUGGAGCUAUAGUGGGGAAAUGAGGCAAUAUAAUUAAAGACUGUGCUGGAAUGCUGGGGUAGACCUUAUGAUUGUGACAACUCCUAAAUGUAGGCGUGGCUGCUUCUCUGAACACAGUAGAGAAGUUAAAACAAACCCAUAUUUUUUUUCUGGGUCAAAUUCUAAGAUACCUGUACUCGUUGGCGGUUGAAAAUAAGUUUUUUAAUAUGGCAGUGUUUUUCCCAAUUGUAGUUGAUCUUAAAAGGUUACCUACAAAAUAGGUACCUGCGAAGUCAGGACAUCAGUUUGAAUUUCCAAAGGAAAUGACUGUACCAUCUCAGGAGCAUAGUGAGGGUUCUGGGUUGUGUCUGGCUGUGUGUGUACAUCACGGGGGAACAUCAUCUGCUUGAGUGGCUUUGUUUGGCUGUCAUCAGGACCGUUCACAGACGUUCCGUUCUCCUCCUCCGGACUACGUGGUAGAAUUUCACUUUCUGACCCUUUGAGGCUAGGCCUGCCCAUGGGGCUUUCUUUGUCAAUGACAUGUGUUUAGAAGUGAUUCCUGUCGCUAUUUAGAAGCCUGACCGCAAGAGCUAUGAGACAAUGUUGAGAUGGAGUCUCUGUCAGUCUGGCUUCUCAGGUGACUCCAGGGAGCAGAGAGCCCCUGACAACUUGCAUGACAUAUACACACAGGAGAGACAAAAAAUAUAUCUUUGCUGUGCUUCUCCACUGUUGGUUUUGUUACUGCCACAUACGUUGGCCCAUCCUGACUGAUGUAUUUGAUUUUCCAGGGGGUUGAUUGUUGUUGUAAUUUAAGGAGAGAGAGGUGUUGCUGGAAGCUGAGGGAUUCUUCACUGCUGAUUUUUGUUGUUGUCUUUUUUUUUUUUUUUUUUUUUUUUUGAGAGAGGGUCUUGCUGUGUAGUUCAGGCUAAUCUUGAACUCACUAUGUAGCUCAGGGUGGCCUUGAACUUGCACCGAUCCUCCCAAGUGUUGGGAUUACAGGCAUGUGCCACUACACUUGGCUUCACAGCUGAUUUUUUUGUUUUGUUUUGUUUUACAGUUGUAUUUAUUAGUAUAUUUUCAGUGCAUGUUCUUGUAGUAACAAGGACUUUUUACAUUAAUUAUUUUGGUACAUUUUAGGUAUACAACAUGCUGACAUUCUUUAUUAGGGACUUGUGCCUUUACGUAAUGUAUCUUUUUUUUGUGGGGGUACCAAACUCGGGUCCUUGAGCCUGAAAGGCAGGCGGCAGAACCACUGAGCUAAAUCCCCAGCCCUACACAAUAUAUCUUGAUUCUUAAUUUUUUCCCCAUUCCCCUGCCCUCCUUCCAACCCUUCCACAUCUUCCUAUUUACAGAGGCUUUGUUUCCAUUUUUUCCUUUUCUCAUAUUUAUUUCUUUCCCUCCUCUCUUUUCCCCUGCCUUUCUCACUGCCCCUUCCCCUUCCCCUUUGGACCUUUACUUCUUAUGUCACAUUAUCUAUGAUAUAUUUUGAUUCUCAUUUAUGCUUUUAGUUUUUCACACCAAAGAAACGAUUCUGUAUUUACAUGUGUGACUGGUCAUUGGAGAAAUGCAAAUGAAAACAAUACUGAGAAUCCACCUCACCCCAGAAAGAAUGGCUGCUCUCAGGAAAUCAACCAAUAAGAAAUGCUGACAGGUUGUGGGGAGGGAAAAAAACCCUUCUCCACUGUUAUUUUUUUAAAGCUUAUUGAGUUUAUUGGUACUUUUUAAGGAUACAGUACAGUAACAUUCAUCAUUGUGAUCUUGUACCUUUACAGGACAGGUCUUGGUUCUCAUUUUUCCCCCAUAUCCCUGCUCCUUCCUCAUUGUUGGUGUGAGUGCAGAUUGGUGCAACCACUGUGAAAUCAAUAUGGAGAUACCUCAAAGAACUAGCAUUAGAGGUUCCAUUUGAUCCAGCCAUCCCUCUGCUGGGUAUCUUCCCAAAAGAAUAAAAAGACUCAUACCACAAUGAUAUAUGUGCACCCAUGUUCAUGGUGACAUAGUUUGUAAUAGCUAAAACUUGGAAACAGCCCAAUUUCCCAUCAACUGGAGACUGGAUAAAGGAAAUGUGCUUUAAAAAAAAAUAAAACUGAGUACUACUCAGCCAUAAAGAAGGAGAAACUAGGCCAGGAUUUGGCUCAGUAGCAUUGUGCCUGCCUCGCAAGCACAAGGUCCUGAGAUCGACCCCCACUAUCAAAAAAAAAAAAAAAAAAGAGAAACUAGAGCCAGGUA